AUACGUAGGGAGCGAGCGUUGUCCGGAAUUACUGGGUGUAAAGGGAGCGUAGGCGGGAGUGCAAGUCAGAUGUGAAAUACAUGGGCUCAACCCAUGGGCUGCAUUUGAAACUGCAUUUCUUGAGUGAAGUAGCGGUAAGCGGAAUUCCUGGUGUAGCGGUGAAAUGCGUAGAUAUCAGGAGGAACACCGGGGGCGAAGGCGGCUUACUGGACUUUUACUGACGCUGAGGCUCGAAAGCGUGGGGAGCAAACAGGAUUAGAUACCCUGGUAGUCCACGCUGUAAACGAUGAUUACUAGGUGUGGGGGGACUGACCCCUUCCGUGCCGCAGUUAACACAAUAAGUAAUCCACCUGGGGAGUACGGCCGCAAGGUUGAAACUCAAAUGAAUUGACGGGG
rnacentral:rRNA from 1 species